UUCCUACGGGGCGCAGCAGUGGGGAAUAUUGGGCAAUGGGCGCAAGCCUGACCCAGCAAUGCCGCGUGAAGGAAGAAGGCCCUCGGGUUGUAAACUUCUUUUAUCAGGGACGAAGGAUGUGACGGUACCUGAUGAAUAAGCUCCGGCUAACUACGUGCCAGCAGCCGCGGUAAUACGUAGGGAGCAAGCGUUAUCCGGAUUUACUGGGUGUAAAGGGCGCGUAGGCGGGAUGGCAAGUCAGAUGUGAAAUCCUGCGGCUUAACCGCAGAACUGCAUUUGAAACUGUUGAUCUUGAGUACUGGAGG
rnacentral:rRNA from 1 species